GGGCGCAGGUCUCGAAGCAGCCGGUGCCUCUGCAGCAAAAGCCUGAUGACCUGCAGCAGCCCCAAGGCCAAGCAGAACGCCAACGCCAGGAACUGCAUCUGGAAGCAAUUUGCCAUGAAUGAGAUGAAGGUGGCCGUGGCUCUGACCCUGUUCCACUUAGAGCUGCUGCCGGAUCCCUCCAGGGUCCCCAUUCCCACUCCCAGAAUUGUGUUGAAGUCCAAGAACGGGAUCCACCUGCAUCUUCGGAAGCUCCCCUAAUCCUCGUGGGGAUGAGAUCCAGCUCCGAGGGCCUCCCGCCUCCCAUCCUGUCUUCCUGUCACAGUCUGCUGUCCUUUGCUUCACCGCCCACGCCCUGUUCUAUUUGCCCACCUGCCAGCCUCCCUCGUCUCCUGCUCCCACCCGUCACGCUGUCUGUCCUCCUCUCCCUCUCACCUUCUCCAGGCUCGCCAUCUGUUCAUCUGUCCACCUGUCUCUGUGCACCUAAAUCCUGACCGCCUGCCCGUCCUCUCGUCUGUCUGGACUCUCCCUGUCUUCCUUCCUUUCUGCCUGUCUGUCUGUGCCUGUAUUCGGCUCCUGCUGCUGCUGUGAUGAUCGACCACAGCCUUAGUGACUUAGAACAACACGAAGUUACUCCCUAAGGGUUCUGGGGUCGCAAGUCUGAAGGGGGUUUUUCUGGACCACAUCCAAGGUGUCAGCAGGGCCUCCUGCCUCCAGGGCUCUAGGAGAGGAUCCGUCUCUUCACCUUUUCCCUCAACUAGAGCUGCAGUCCCUGCCUUCCGUGCCUCCUGGGCCUCCUCCACACUCACAUCCAGCAGCAUCUUCAAAUGCCUCUCUGCUUCUGUCUUCACAUCACCUUCUCCUUCACAAGGACCUUUGUGAUGGCAUGGGUUCACUCAGAUAAAACCGGCUGCUUCUCGGGUUCCAGGGAUGAAAGCGUGGACCCCCUGGGCAGCCAUCACUCAGCCGACUACAUCCUGUGUGAACCCAUCCCUCUGGGUCUCCAAUGUCUCCCACGUGCUAUGGGUCCACCCAUCUGUCCCUCACAUGCCUCCCUUCUUCCCCACUCCCUGGAUAAAGUUCACAAUGUCA